ensembl:lncRNA
CUUCAACCAGGACGAGGGCAUUCGCACACGCUCCAAAUCAGCAAAAAAUCCAGAGCGCUGGACCAACAUCCCGCUGCUGGUGAAGGUCUUUAAGCUGAUCGUCAACGAGCUCUCGUCUGUGGUGGAGGCCAAUGCCACUCGCACCUCCGCUGCCGACUGGACCCAAGAAUCAGGAGGGAUGUGGGAGGAUCAGGAGGAGCAAGAGGAAGAUGAUGACGAUGAUGAAGGCCUGCAUGGACAGCUGCUCUCAGACCUCAUCUCCGCCAAUAAAUAUGAUGAUGAUUACUAUGAAGAUGACGAUGAAGACGACCCCGACGCCUUAAAGGACCCCAUAUAUCAGAUUGACCUUCAGGUAAUGACCUUUAGAUUCUAGCACUUACCUUCCCAUUCCUCCCCUCCCC